UACGUAGGGCGCAAGCGUUUGUCCGGAAUUAUUGGGCGUAAAGAGCUCGUAGGCGGUUUGUCGCGUCUGCUGUGAAAACCUAAGGCUCAACCUUGGGCUUGCAGUGGGUACGGGCAGACUAGAGUGCGGUAGGGGGUGACUGGAAUUCCGUGGUGUAGCGGUGGAAUGCGCAGAUAUCAGGAGGAACACCGAUGGGCGAAAGGCAGGUCACUGGGCCGGCAAC
rnacentral:rRNA from 1 species